GUUUCAGUCCGACUCGUUUGAGCUAACCAUUUCUGAUCAAUUGACCUAUUGAUGUUUAAGGCAAAUUAAUAAGAUGUAGUUAUUUAAUUGAUUCCGUUAGCCGACCUGACCAAUUUAUUGGUGUCUAAGGAAGGCAAUGGGGGGACCCUCAUCGAUCUCCACUUACCUGGCCAAUUUAGAAGAUUGGGUCUUGAAUUAGGUUGCUUAGCGGUUUGGUUUAGCCCAUGCCAAU
rnacentral:lncRNA from 1 species